rnacentral:rRNA from 1 species
GACGAACGCUGGCGGCGUGCUUAACACAUGCAAGUCGAACGAAGUGGCGAACGGGUGAGUAACGCGUAAUCAACCUGCCCUUCAGAGGGGGACAACAGUUUGAAACGACUGCUAAUACCGCAUACUGAAGGAGGGGAUUGCGUCUGCUUAGCGGGUUGGAGGGGUAACGGCCCACCAAGGCGAUGAUCAGUAGUCGGUCUGAGAUGAUGGACGGCCACAUUGGGACUGGGGAACGGCCCAGGCUCCUACGGGAGGCAGCAAGGGGGAAUCUUCCGCAAUGGACGAAAGGCUGACGGAGCAACGCCGGGGGAGUGGUGACGGGCUUCGGGUUGGUAAGCUCUGUUAAUCGGGACGCGGUACCGGAAUAGAAAGCCACGGCUAACUACGUGCCAGCAGCCGCGGUAAUAC